UUUUUAUAUUAUAAAUAUAAUUUGCUCCCUGCUAAUAAGUAAAGAGCCGCGUAAGUGCUAAGGUAGCAUAAUCAUUAGAUUAUUAAUUGUAAUCUUGUAUGAAAAAUUAAACCUUAAAAUUAAUAAUUUUAAUACAAAUAAAAUUAGUUUUUAAGUGAAAAACCUUAAAUAAAAUUUUUAGACGAGAAGACCCUAAAACUUUAAAUAAUUUUUAUUGGGACAAUAAACAAUUUUAAUAAUGUUUUAUUAGCUUUUAAGCAAAGACCCUAAAAAGUUUAAUAAAAGUACUUUAGGGAUAACAGCAUAA
rnacentral:rRNA from 1 species